rnacentral:tRNA from 1 species
GGCACUGUGGUGCAGAGGGUUAACGCCCUGGCCUGAAGCGCCAGCAUCCCAGGUUUGAGACCUGGCCGCUCCA